UAAUGUGGUAAAUGAAUAAGUACAAAAGCCUCCAUAAAAAUCUUUUCGAAGAUUUCAACCUGGUCGAAAUUAAAAAAAGAUAUCCCUACCAAGAAAUGACAUAGUACUAUCUGCACCAGUACAAUCAAAGUAAAGGGUUUGGGUUGCACAAAAAGGACGUGUACCAUCCCAAAUGAGUAUUUGAGCCACUAAUCCCUGCACCAAUGGUCGCAUACGCAACAUGACAUGUUUAUAUCUGAUGAAUUACUACUAAAAUCUUGUACACAUAUGAAAUACGUUGUGAAAAUCUACCUAAUCUAGAAUAAAACAUUUUCUAUAAUUGUAACAAGAAAAUGAUGCUUAGCCCUGAGAGUUUCUUCUUUUCUCUCUCUCUCUCGAGAGUUCUUCCUUCUGUUUGAGGGUACUUCUCACCUUCUUAUGUGAGUGAUCCCGAUUGUGCUUCCCUUGGCUACCGCCGGUCCUAGCUGUGGCUGGUUCUUCCAUCUCCUGCUGGUUCUUCCAAUUUUCCCCUUUGGCUUUCCCAAUUCUUCAAACCCUGUGGCGCCCGUGGAGGGGAUGAUCUGCAGUGGGUGAAGGAUUGAGUGGCUGGCUAAUUCUUGGAUCGGCGACCACAGUGGAUGGUUCUCGGUUGUUCGUUUUUGUUUGGGCUGGUGGGCUAUUUUUCUGUGUUUUCUUUGUUUUUAGGCCCGUUCUUUGUUUGUUUCUAGGAAAAAAUUAGGCAUUUGCUUGAUUUGUAAGUGUGUUUGCUUUAAUAAAAGUUCCUUGUUGGUGAUCCUUUUGGAUCCCACCUCCAAAAAAAAAAAAACAAAACAAAAAAAAAAUAGAAAAUGAUGUUUAGCUAAUGGGAGUAAAAGACAAACAAUGUUGCUGUUCUUAUCCAACCAUUGAUCGAAUUCAAACAAUUUAACACUCAA